rnacentral:rRNA from 1 species
UACGGAGGGGGCAAGCGUUGUUCGGAAUUACUGGGCGUAAAGGGCGUGUAGGCGGCCAACUAAGUCCGACGUGAAAUCCCCAGGCUUAACCUGGGAACUGCGUCGGAUACUGGAUGGCUUGAAUCCGGGAGAGGGAUGCAGAAUUCCAGGUGUAGCGGUGAAAUGCGUAGAUAUCUGGAGGAAUACCGGUGGCGAAGGCGGCAUCCUGGACCGGCAUUGACGCUGAAGCGCGAAAGCUAGGGGAGCAAACGGG